CAUUCCAGCUUCUCUCUGAAGUCAAGACUUGUAAGGGAUAAAGGAAAGAAUCCACAUCUUUAAGGGAAGAAAAGGAGGAAAGGGUGGAGAAGAUCUUGGCAUCAAUCCUCAAAACACUUCUUUUUGUCAGAGGGUUUCCAGAUACUACUGAAGACAAUGAGGCUAAUGUGAAAUAGCUUGGAUGAAAAUGGAAGCCAAAGGUUGAAGCUCAACCAUUAAUGUAAGCAAAUUCAAUUACAAGAGAAAUAAAAGGGAUAAAUUCA